UUACGAUUUCGUAUCGAACUGAAAACACAGGUCAGCAGAUGUUCUGAGCGGCCGAGCGGGAAGCCUGCCCUGGGCCCUGGGAUCACGUCCUGAGCCGAAGGCAGACGCUUCACCGACUGAGCAGCCCAGGCGCCCCGAAAAUGCUGAAGUUAUAAAAUAUAAGACUGAUGGUAGAUUCUUGACUCGCACACUGUUUCUGCUUCUGGCGGAAUCCACAACUCGCAGAGGCAAGUGUGUUCUCCGGAAAAUUCCGGCUCAGGUCUGCUUCAUCAGACGCACAAACUCUUCACAGAAUUUGGCGUGUCUCCUCUGUCGGGGCAUCUGGGGACCUGCCGGUCGGGGUGCGAGCCGUGACCCUGCACCCCGGGCUUCCUUUGGCAUCUCCGGGACCCCCUCCGACCGGCCUCCGGCUCUCAGCCCUUCGGACGCUGUGACGGUGACGCCCGCACUUCUGUGUGAGCAUUUGCCACUGCAUUUUAAAUGAAUCUGGUAUUUUCAGCCUUUAUGUGUGUCUUAGUUUAAAUGUGCUUCUUGGAGAUGAUGCAUAGCAGAUUUUUCUUUGUGUGAUUUAUUGUUUUAGCCAGAGAAGACAUCCUCCGUAUAAUUAUAAGGAAAUUGAUUUCAUUACAUGGUUACCCGGAUUUUAUGCUGUUUCUAGACUUCUAGCACAUACUCUUCUAACAAAGUCCCACCACGUGACGGCUUUGAGCCUGCCAGCUCGGAGUCUGGUCUGAGGCCACGAGGGCCCCCGCCGGCGAUGCUUGGAUACCAAACCCUAGGUUCUAGAACGUGUGCCUUUCUGGAGGCAUGCAGAGCUGACCCAGAAUUUGUAUCUCUACUUUAUAUUAAGAGAGAACCUCAGUGUGCGUCCCCUUCCAUCCCUUUCCCUGCGGAGUGUCUGCCACUUAGCUCCUGUUUUGCCGCUGGAUUUUCUGAGCGCUUUGCCAGCUGUAGGGGUCCCGCACCUAGCUGGUUCACCUGACAGGGGGUUUGACGAGAUUCAAAGCCUAGAGGGAUGUGUGGACCUUUGCUCCUGAGGGAGACACCUGGCCAGGGGCGAGGAGUCACCUCGAAUGAGGGAAUCUGCAUUCUUGCUCACUCCUGGCUGGCAUGUGGGGCGGGGGGGUGUGAGGGUCCUGGGUGGGGAGGUUGUCCUUUCUGGAAGCCAAGCUGGAGAUGGGCGGAGGGCCUUGGACAGAGCGGCCGGCCCACAGGGAGCCCAGCCUUCUGCCCCACACACCCUGAGACGCCUCUGGGAGGUGGACGAGAUAGUCAGGGGGCAAUGGGGUAGUGGUGGGAGGGAGGUCAGUGCUCCUGUCCUUUCCCAGGCCAGGCCUUCCCUUGCAGGUUCCAAGGGAGUGGAGCCUCGGUGAUGGUGCCAAGAGGACAGAGUCAGCCCAGCCAUUUGCUUCCUGCUGUCCCUUCUGGCCUGUGGGCCCAUCACGAAGCCCCCAAUGGAACCCAGCUUUCUGGGAGCUCAGGGUAGGUCCAAUGGAUGGCUGGCUGUCCGUCAGGAUGUCUGUGACCCUCAGUCCUUAAAUCAGAAAGAGCUGGAAACAUCCUUGCUUGCUGGGUGUGAGGCCAAGGGCUGAGACAGGGACCAGGUGGUCAGGGGAGGCCCCUGCCCAUCAAGGCAGGCCUUCAGGAGCUCAUUUUGCACGUGGCCCCUUGUUGGCAGGUCUGAGUCUCAGGCUUGGGGGUGCUGGG